rnacentral:rRNA from 1 species
GACGAACGCUGGCGACGUGCUUAACACAUGCAAGUCGAACGGAAAGGCCCUGCUUUUGUGGGGUGCUCGAGUGGCGAAAGGGUGAGUAACACGUGAGUAACCUGCCCUUGACUGUGGGAUAACUUCAGGAAACUGGGGCUAAUACCGGAUAGGAGCUCCUGCUGCAUGGUGGGGGUUGGAAAGUUUCGGCGGUUGGGGAUGGACCCGCGGCUUAUCAGCUUGUUGGUGGGGUAGUGGCUUACCAAGGCUUUGCCGGGUGGCCGGCCUGAGAGGGUGACCGGCCACAUUGGGACGGAGAGACGGCACAGCCUCAUACGGGAGGGAGGAGGGGGGAAUAUUGCAUGAGGGGCGGGAGCAUGACGGAGCAACCCCGCGUGCGGGAUGACGGCCGUCGGGUUGUAAACCGCUUUCGCCUGCGACGAAGCGUGAGUGAGGGUAAUGGGUAAAGAAGCACCGGCUACCUACUU